rnacentral:rRNA from 1 species
UACGUAGGCAGCAAGCGUUGUCCGGAGUUACUGGGCGUAAAGGGUGCGCAGGCGGCCCUGCGCGUCGCGAGUGAAAUCUCCCGGCUCAACUGGGAGGGUGGUCGCGAGACGGCAGGGCUUGAGGCUCGGUGAGGGGCGUGGAAUUCCGGGUGGAGCGGUGAAAUGCGUAGAGAUCCGGAGGAACACCAACGGCGUAGGCAGCGCCCUAGACGAGACCUGACGCUCAGGCACGAAAGCGCGGGAGCGAACAGG